rnacentral:rRNA from 1 species
GCCCGCGGCCUAUCAGCUAGUUGGUGGGGUAACGGCCCACCAAGGCGACGACGGGUAGCCGGCCUGAGAGGGCGACCGGCCACACUGGGACUGAGACACGGCCCAGACUCCUACGGGAGGCAGCAGUGGGGAAUAUUGCACAAUGGGCGAAAGCCUGAUGCAGCGACGCCGCGUGAGGGAUGACGGCCUUCGGGUUGUAAACCUCUUUCAGCAGGGAAGAAGCGAAAGUGACGGUACCUGCAGAAGAAGCGCCGGCUAACUACGUGCCAGCAGCCGCGGUAAUACGUAGGGCGCAAGCGUUGUCCGGAAUUAUUGGGCGUAAAGAGCUCGUAGGCGGUUUGUCGCGUCUGCUGUGAAAACGCGAGGCUCAACCUCGCGCCUGCAGUGGGUACGGGCAGACUAGAGUGCGGUAGGGGAGACUGGAAUUCCUGGUGUAGCGGUGGAAUGCGCAGAUAUCAGGAGGAACACCGGUGGCGAAGGCGGGUCUCUG